rnacentral:rRNA from 1 species
GAUGAACGCUGGCGGCGUGCCUAAAACAUGCAAGUCGAGCGAAUUGACAGAGGUGCUUGCACCUCUCGAUUUUAGCGGCGGACGGGUGAGUAACACGUGGGUAACCUACCUAUAAGACUGGGAUAACUUCGGGAAACCGGAGCUAAUACCGGAUAAUAUUUAGCUUCGCAUGAAGCAAUAGUGAAAGACGGUUCUGCUGUCACUUAUAGAUGGACCUGCGGUGUAUUAGCUGGUUGGUGAGGUAACGGCUCACCAAGGCAACGAUACAUAGCCGACCUGAGAGGGUGAUCGGCCACACUGGGACUGAGACACGGCCCAGACUCCUACGGGAGGCAGCAGUAGGGAAUCUUCCGCAAUGGACGAAAGUCUGACGGAGCAACGCCGCGUGAGUGAAGAAGGUUUUCGGAUCGUAAAACUCUGUUGUAAGGGAAGAACAAGUACGUUAGUAACUGAACGUACCUUGACGGUACCUUACCAGAAAGCCACGGCUAACUACGUGCCAGCAGCCGCGGUAAAAC